UGCUCUUCUGCACCAGGCAUCUGCUCUGAUCUUUAUGUUUUCCAGUCUUGUCUAGCAGUGUUUAAAGGACAAGGAACCAAAGAAUAUGAAAUUCAUCACGGAAAGAAGAUUCUAUACGAUAUACUUGCUUUUGCCAAAGAAAGUGUUAAUUCGCACGUUACCACACUUGGACCUCAGAACUUCCCUGCAAGUGACAAAGAACCGUGGCUUGUUGACUUCUUUGCCCCUGUGAGUUAUUUUUAUCUGUCAAGUUUCCAAAAGCCGUUUUCUUGACAACAUGAACGCUAGUACUACAGUUGUUCCUGCUUCUCCUUACGGGCUCUCCCGGGAUAGUGUUAGGCAGCACACCCACUGGACUGUGUGUCAGUAGUAG
rnacentral:lncRNA from 1 species